rnacentral:tRNA from 1 species
CAAAUAAUAGUUUAAAAAAAACAGUAACUUUGGAAGUUAAAAAUUAAAAUUAUGUUUUAUUAUUUGA